CGACAUGCAUGCUCCGUGACAUUUAGCCAGCAUGAAAGAGAGGACGAUCAGGCUGAAGAAGACUCUCUGAGAAAGGAAGAAAAGAAGAAGAGACCAAUGGAGUAUGAAGCAUGUCUUUUCCUUGUGGCAGUGCCUAUUUCGGAACAUCUUGCACCCGGAAAAUGGUUAAUAAAUGCACAGGAGGUAAUCUCCCCUCUUACACUGCUGCCUUCUCCUUCCAUAUAAAUCAGAGGAGCAAGUUCCUUACUGGCCUCAGAGGGAGCUGUUACUCCUGGUCAUUCCUGCUACUAAGAGUUUCCUCGAUUGUUUCCCAAAUCCAAGAUGAGAAUUUUCUUCAUCCUGAUUGCCUUCUUUGUCAUGCUGGCUACGUGUCAAGGAGCCCUUCCAUAUAAACCCAAUAACAAAAACAACAGUGUUCCAUGCUUUCGUAAACCUGAAAAAAACAGCGAAGCAUUGGGUUAACUGCCACAGAUGCGUGUGCCAUAUUUAUGGGAUGCAUUGCUACUAGAGGUUUGGUAGUGCUUCAGAUGCGCCUCUAAGAUGCAAGAGAAUAGUACACCUACCAUCGUCCAUGCGCUCUUAUUCUGAUUAAAUCUCUUAACAUGUGAAUGAAUCUGAAUAAACCUUUCACAUAACCAU